AGUGAACGCUGGCGGUAGGCCUAACACAUGCAAGUCGAACGGCAGCACAGUAAGAGCUUGCUCUUACGGGUGGCGAGUGGCGGACGGGUGAGGAAUACAUCGGAAUCUACUUUUUCGUGGGGGAUAACGUAGGGAAACUUACGCUAAUACCGCAUACGACCUACGGGUGGAAGCAAGGGAUCUUCGGACCUUGCGCGAUUGAAUGAGCCGAUGUCGGAUUAGCUAGUUGGCGGGGUAAAGGCCCACCAAGGCGACGAUCCGUAGCUGGUCUGAGAGGAUGAUCAGCCACACUGGAACUGAGACACGGUCCAGACUCCUACGGGAGGCAGCAGUGGGGAAUAUUGGACAAUGGGCGCAAGCCUGAUCCAGCCAUACCGCGUGGGUGAAGAAGGCCUUCGGGUUGUAAAGCCCUUUUGUUGGGAAAGAAAAGCAGCAGGUUAAUACCCCGCUGUUCUGACGGUACCCAAAGAAUAAGCACCGGCUAACUUCGUG
rnacentral:rRNA from 1 species